GCUGUUGAAGAAAAUGUUUCGUUAAAAGAUGAUGGCAGGACUGAAAUUAUUGUCAAUGAAUUCAAAACAAAAUUACAAAUAUGGAAGCCAAAGAAACAUCGUAGAAAAAACACCUUAUCUUGAGAUGCGACUUUUUAAAGAAACACUGCCAGUUGUCACCGUAAGGUUGGAAAAGUUCCUGAAAACGAAAUCUCAAUCUCAAAUUCUUCACAAGAAGAGGCAAUUCAUAAAGAUGAUUUCAAGCGUUAAUAGUCGUCAGCAACACGUUUAUUGGUGAUCAAGAACAGGUACCAGCCAGGCCUUAUUAUUGCAAUAUCUUAUCUGUCAUUCGCGAUAAUUUGUUUCCCUUUCAUCUUGCAAUAAAGAGCAGGUUGUAUCAAAUUACUUCAUUAUCUGAGCAAACCACUCAAGCUUAAGAGAUCCAAUUGGCAUCUCUUGCAUGUCGAUGCUUUUGCUUUUUCUUGUAAAUAAAAUUAGGCAACAAAACCACAAAUGAAGCUGUGGUUCUCGAGAUGAUUUGUUUGAAUGUUCUCAGGUGACAAUGUUUCUUCACAACAGGGAAGAGGGAACCCAUUGAAGAAAUUAUUAAUGUGGCUUUGAUAUA